CCUAGAGCUCUGGAGGCGUCGGGCCCAGCCUGGGGACCAUGCAGCGGGAUGUGGGCAGCUUUCCCCUAGCCCCUGGCCUCCGGGCUAAGCUCAUCGGAGCCGGGUUCCAGACGGCCCAGGAGCUGCUGGAGAUCGGGCCCUGCGAGCUCAGCAAAGAAAUUGGAAUCUCUAAAGAGGAGGCACUAGAAACCUUGCAAAUUGUAAGAAGAGAAUGUAACAGUAAUGCAACAAAGACUGCUGGUGAUCCGGAAGCUGUUGGGAAGUGCACAGCACUAGAACUCUUGGCCCAAGAACAGGCACAAGGCUUCAUCAUCACCUUCUGUUCAGCUCUAGAUGAUAUUCUGGGAGGUGGUGUGCAACUAACAAAAAUCACAGAGAUCUGUGGAGCGCCAGGUGUUGGGAAAACCCAGUUAUGUAUGCAGCUGGCAGUAGAUGUGCAGAUUCCAGAAUGUUUUGGGGGGCUUGCUGGAGAAGCAGUUUUCAUUGAUACAGAGGGAAGCUUUAUGGUAGACAGAGUGGUAGACAUUGCAACUGCCUGUGUUCAGCACUGCCAGCUUAUUGCUGAAACACAUCAGGAAGAAGACUUUCAAAAAUCCCUGGAGACUUUCUCCCUUGAAAGUAUUCUUUCUCAUAUCUAUUACUUCCGUUGUCAUGACUACACAGAGCUGCUAGCACAGGUCUACCUCCUCCCAGACUUCCUUUCAGAGCAUUCAAAGGUCCGAUUGGUUAUUGUGGAUGGAAUUGCCUUUCCUUUUCGCCACGACUUUGAGGACCUCUCACUGCGAACGCGGCUUCUGAAUGGCUUAGCACAACAGUUGAUCAGCAUAGCAAAUGCUCAUAAAUUAGCUGUAGUUUUGACAAAUCAAAUGACAACAAGGAUUGGACAAAGUCAGUCCAUGUUGGUACCUGCUUUAGGGGAAAGCUGGGGACAUGCUGCUACCAUCCGUUUAAUCUUCCACUGGGACAACAAACAGAGGUUGGCAACAUUGUACAAAUCACCGAGUCAGAAGGAGUCGACCGUACCUUUCCAUAUUACACCUCAUGGCUUCCGGGAUGUGCAUCCUCCACCUCCAAGCCAGACCCCAGCAGAAGUUGAAAUUAACCCUCGAAAACGGCCACGGAUAGAAGGGGACAAACAACAGUGAUACAAAGGAUAAACUUCAACAAAGGUGUGAGACUCUGAGUACAUUGCCAUGACCUAGAGAAGAAUUCUGUGUAAGCUUGAAAGAUAGUCUCGCUCACCAACUGAAGCUGGUUCAAUACAAGAUAUUACCUCACCCACCUUGUCUCUCUAAACUCCUAGGUCUUGCCUACCCUGUUUUUCCUGGAAGACAAUAUGAACCACUGGACUCCUAGUAAGACUGUAAUAUCACAUGAACAAAGAGUGAAACCGGAACAAUGUAGUGGGGCAAGGAAUUUUUAGUCAAACUAUUU